rnacentral:lncRNA from 1 species
CUGUAUAAGUAUUCAAGAUCUUUCUGGUGAGUAACUGAUGUCGAAGUAAGCAUAUGCCUGCUCGAGUUUUUACAUACUCCUCCUGUUUAAGCCUGGACGUUUUUGUUAGGCUUAGGAUCCAAAUCCAUUCAAAUUUAAUUACAAGUACUACGAUCAAUCUAUGGUCAACUUUAAUGAGUCUGUGCUACAGCAUCCCUAUUCCACAUAAGUCAUAGACUGGGUUCGUUUUAAUACUAUAAAAUAUCACGUCCAAAAUUUGGGACAUAACAUGACUAUGCUAUCAAGGGGUAACGCCCAUGAUAAUAUAAAUCCAACAAUUAUAAUUUGUAUACAAAUCCACCUCAAGUAAAUGUAUAACAUAAUGAUCCAAAUUCAUUAUUCAUUAAAUAAUAAAGCAAACAUCGAUUCAGAGCGUUUAAAUCUAAAUAAGAAUAUUAUAAUCCGUAAUUCUUAAAAUUUAGAAAAUCAUUAACUAUAAAUUUAGUUAAUUAAAAACUAAAAUUUUUCUACAAAAUUGACAAAUUUGCUAGCGCGAACUUUAAAUCUGGAUUUGAUACCAUUUGCAACAAUUCAUGAUCUCAUCUAAAAGCUAUUGAAUUUUUUGAUUCUAUAUAAGUACUCAAAAUUUCUCCGAUGAAUAACUAAUAAGGGUCACACGGAUCCUCAUAUACUCAUGAAAUAAUGCUAUCAAUAAGUCAUCUUCUACCGCACUGUUCCUGAG